UUACAGGCGGACUUGGAAUCCCCCUGGGUCUGCUCUCCGCGAACGAGAAUGGAAUCCGGUAAACCUCUGGGAGGACAGCCCUGUCCUGUUACUAUACCACCACCGAAACGGCCCUCAAUUCCCUGUUCAGCAUGUGCGUAGGUCGGCGGCGCUUCAGCCCGGCGGAGGCUCCGAUGCUGACACGCUGCGCCCGCAGAGACGCACCACGCGGACAGGUGCUCCCGGCCACGCAGGGACCCUCCCCCAGCCUGGAGGCGCAAGCACCUGCACUUCUAAUCCGGGAGCGCCAGCGCCGCCGCUGCGGGCCCGCUGAAACCUGCCUGGAGCGCAGGGAUCUCCCACGGAAGGAGACCUUCGGGAAGAGAUGAGACCGGAUAACGAAGCGGAGCGAAGGACCUUGGGACUCUGCCUCCGGUGUGCCCCUGCAAAGUAGCGACGGUGGCCCCCAUCUCGCAAGGCGGCCCUGGGCCUGAGGCCUCAACCCUUCUAGGUGAGGGUCCCCUGUGGGCCUUCCUCCGGGCUGCUCCUCAGCCGUCUAUGCAGCUCCGGACCCAGAAGCCCUUGUGCAUCAGCCUUCUGUGACCUUUUCGGAUGAUCUCAGGAAAUAUGGACAACAGGAAAAAACCCACAAAACCACCUAUCAGAUUAUACCUUGUAAGUGCAAGGAUUUGGAGAGCUGCUCUGGAGCCAGUUCCUGCCUACAAUCCCCGGUGAGUUCUUCAGAGCUGCCUGAAAUACUGUCCCGGGGCUCAGUAAGACACGAAUAAGACAUUUACUACCUGACUUUUUUUUCUUUUUAUUGGAGUUCAAUUUGCCAACAUAUAGCAUAACACCCAGUGCU